rnacentral:rRNA from 1 species
AGAGUUUGAUCAUGGCUCAGGAUGAACGCUAGCGGGAGGCUUAACACAUGCAAGUCGAGGGAUAGUUUCAGCAAUGGGACGAAAACCGGCGCACGGGUGAGUAACGCGUAUGCAACCUGCCCUUUACCGGGGGAUAGCCCGUCGAAAGGCGGAUUAAUACCCCAUAAUACUGUAAUCCUGCAUGGGAUAUCAGUUAAAGUUUAGGCGGUAAAGGAUGGGCAUGCGUGACAUUAGCUAGUUGGUAGGGUAACGGCCUACCAAGGCUACGAUGUCUAGGGGUUCUGAGAGGAAGGUCCCCCACACUGGUACUGAGACACGGACCAGACUCCUACGGGAGGCAGCAGUGAGGAAUAUUGGUCAAUGGGCGAGAGCCUGAACCAGCCAUCCCGCGUGCAGGAAGAAGGCCCUAUGGGUUGUAAACUGCUUUUGUGCAUGAAGAACACCCCCGACGCGCUCGGGGGCUGACGGUAAUGCGUGAAUAAGCACCGGCUAACUCCGUGCCAGCAGCCGCGGUAAUACGGAGGGUGCAAGCGUUAUCCGGAUUUAUUGGGUUUAAAGGGUGCG